UACGUAGGAUGCAAGCGUUGUCCGGAUUUACUGGGCGUAAAGAGCGCGCAGGCGGUCGAUUAAGUCGAGUGUGAAAGCCCCCGGCUCAACUGGGGAGGGUCACUCGAUACUGGUCGACUCGAAGGUGGGAGAGGGAAGUGGAAUUCCCGGUGUAGUGGUGAAAUGCGUAGAUAUCGGGAGGAACACCAGUGGCGAAGGCGACUUCCUGGCCCAUUCUUGACGCUGAGGCGCGAAAGCUAGGGGAGCAAACGGG
rnacentral:rRNA from 1 species